CUUAGUAGCGGCGAGUGAAGCGGCAAAAGCUCAAAUUUGAAAUCUGGCACUUUCAGUGUCCGAGUUGUAAUUUGAAGAAGGUAUCUUUGGGUCUGGCUCUUGUCUAUGUUUCUUGGAACAGAACGUCACAGAGGGUGAGAAUCCCUGUGCGAUGAGAUGUCCCAGACCUAUGUAAAGUUCCUUCGAAGAGUCGAGUUGUUUGGGAAUGCAGCUCUAAGUGGGUGGUAAAUUCCAUCUAAAGCUAAAUAUUGGCGAGAGACCGAUAGCGAACAAGUACAGUGAUGGAAAGAUGAAAAGAACUUUGAAAAGAGAGUGAAAAAGUACGUGAAAUUGUUGAAAGGGAAGGGCUUGAGAUCAGACUUGGUAUUUUGUAUGUUACUCUCUCGGGGGUGGCCUCUACAGUUUACCGGGCCAGCAUCAGUUUGAGCGGUAGGAUAAGUGCAAAGAAAUGUGGCACUGCUUCGGUAGUGUGUUAUAGUCUUUGUCGAUACUGCCAGCUUAGACUGAGGACUGCGGCUUCGGCCUAGGAUGUUGGCAUAAUGAUCUUAAGUCGCCCGUCUUGAAA
rnacentral:rRNA from 1 species